UACGUAGGGUGCAAGCGUUGUCCGGAUUUAUUGGGCGUAAAGAGCGUGUAGGCGGCCGUACAGGUCAGCUGUGAAAACUCGAGGCUCAACCUCGAGACGUCGGUUGAAACCGUACGGCUAGAGUCCGGAAGAGGAGAGUGGAAUUCCCGGUGUAGCGGUGAAAUGCGCAGAUAUCGGGAAGAACACCCGUGGCGAAGGCGGCUCUCUGGGACGGUACUGACGCUGAGACGCGAAAGCGUGGGGAGCGAACAGG
rnacentral:rRNA from 1 species